rnacentral:ribozyme from 1 species
AGAGUAAUGCAAAACUGAUAGCUUGUAUGAACAGGUGCCGUUGCUUUUCACCUUGUUUGUUUUUAUUUCUUUGCCUUUCUUGUAUUUUUCUCUUCUGAUUUGGGACAAAUCCUUGAA